AACGAACGCUGGCGGCAUGCCUAAUACAUGCAAGUCGAACGAGAUCUUCGGAUCUAGUGGCGCACGGGUGCGUAACGCGUGGGAAUCUGCCCUUGGGUUCGGAAUAACAGUUAGAAAUGACUGCUAAUACCGGAUGAUGACGAAAGUCCAAAGAUUUAUCGCCCAAGGAUGAGCCCGCGUAGGAUUAGCUAGUUGGUGAGGUAAAGGCUCACCAAGGCUACGAUCCUUAGCUGGUCUGAGAGGAUGAUCAGCCACACUGGGACUGAGACACGGACCAGACUCCUACGGGAGGCAGCAGUAGGGAGUAUUGGACAAUGGGCGAAAGCCUGAUCCAGCAAUGCCGCGUGAGCGAUGAAGGCCUUAGGGUUGUAAAGCUCUUUUACCCGGGAUGAUAAUGACAGUACCGGGAGAAUAAGCCCCGGCUAACUCCGUGCCAGCCGCCGCCGUAA
rnacentral:rRNA from 1 species